AGCUCGGUGGUACAGUGGUAGAACAUUUGCUUUGCAUGCAGGAGGUUACAGGUUCAACCCCAGUCAUUGCCAGGCUG